rnacentral:rRNA from 1 species
CUACGGGUUGCAGCAGUGAGGAAUAUUGCACAAUGGGGGGAACCCUGAUGCAGCAACGCCGCGUGGAGGAUGACGCAUUUCGGUGUGUAAACUCCUUUUAUAUGUCAAGAAAAUGACGGUAGCAUAUGAAUAAGCGCCGGCUAACUCCGUGCCAGCAGCCGCGGUAAUACGGAGGGCGCAAGCGUUACUCGGAAUCACUGGGCGUAAAGGACGCGUAGGCGGGUUGAAAAGUCAGGUGUGAAAGCCUACAGCCUAACUGUAGAACUGCACUUGAAACUCUCAACCUAGAGUAUGGGAGGGGCAGAUGGAAUUAGUGGUGUAGGGGUAAAAUCCGUAGAUAUCACUAGGAAUACCUAAAGCGAAGGCGAUCUGCUGGAACAUUACUGACGCUAAGGCGUGAAAGCGUGGGGAGCAAACAGGAUUAGAUACCCGAGUAGUC